ensembl:misc_RNA 7SK 7SK RNA
GGAUGUCAGGGUGAUCUGGCUGUGACAUCUGUCACCUCAUUAAUUGCCAGGGUUGAUUCGGCUCAUCUGGCUGGCGAAGCAGGUGUCCCCUUCCUCCCUUAGCGCUCCAUGUGAGUCCCUCCUGAAGCUGCAUCGUAGGUGGAAGAGGAUGACCUUCCCCGGUAGAUGAGGAAUGUAUUGCAGUCAAGGGUAUACAAGUAGCUGUGUGCUCUGCUAGAACCUUCAAACAAGCUCUCAAGGUCCGCUUGUAAGAGAACGUACAGCAGUCAAGUUUCCAAGAUUCCAGACACAUCUUUAAAAAAAAAGAAAGAUAGAAAGCAAGAAAACAUAUGUUUGUUGCCUUUAUAUUUAUAUUA